AUUGAACGCUGGCGGCAGGCCUAACACAUGCAAGUCGAGCGGUAGAGAGAAGCUUGCUUCUCUUGAGAGCGGCGGACGGGUGAGUAAUGCCUAGGAAUCUGCCUGGUAGUGGGGGAUAACGUUCGGAAACGAACGCUAAUACCGCAUACGUCCUACGGGAGAAAGCAGGGGACCUUCGGGCCUUGCGCUAUCAGAUGAGCCUAGGUCGGAUUAGCUAGUUGGUGAGGUAAUGGCUCACCAAGGCGACGAUCCGUAACUGGUCUGAGAGGAUGAUCAGUCACACUGGAACUGAGACACGGUCCAGACUCCUACGGGAGGCAGCAGUGGGGAAUAUUGGACAAAUGGGCGAAAGCCUGAUCCAGCCAUGCCGCGUGUGUGAAGAAGGUCUUCGGAUUGUAAAGCACUUAAGUUUGGGAGGAAGGGUAGUAACCUAAUACGUUGCUACUUUAGUACGUUACCGUACAGAAUAA
rnacentral:rRNA from 1 species